AUACUUCCGGGUCAAGGGGUAUUUAAAUCCCCUGCCUAGAUCCAGUUGGUGCAUGCAGCCCUGGUUUGUGCAGUGUUCCACAUGAUUCUCUAUGGAUUUGAUGUGGGAGACUGCUUAACCCAGGGGCUGCCCUAUGUGUAUCCUCUUGGACCUAUAGUGGCUGAAUGUCCUUUUUGAGAUCCUGCAGCUGUUGACCCUGUGUGGGAGAAUGCCUUAUCCAGGUGUAGUCUUGUGCAUACCUCUCCAGACCCAUAGCAGUGGUUUGGUUGCAGAGCUGUGAUUAUAUGGACAUUCUCUACACCUGGUAUACAACAGUUCAGACAUGCAGCCCCAUUGGAAUGUGCUAAUAGAGGCCCUCUUUGUUGAACAGCGUGAAUGGAGAGACCGCCUCCCCAUGUUGGAACUCCGGAUUGCCCAGGAACGUCAGGAACAAGGACUUGUGCCCACCUAAAUUCCUAGCGCGUCUAAGAAUAUGCCAUAAUUUAUAUAUCGUCCAUAGAAGUGGGUUAUCCUUCAACUUCUGGUCAAAUUCCGCUUCCACCCCGUGAAGGAAAGAUAUUAGGUUUCUGGACCCCACAAAUUGUGCCUCCAGCUGUGUAUUAGCAUAAGUGUUACUAUUGUGUAACCAGUCUUUUAAAAAUCUCAAUAAAGAAGCAUGGUUAUA